rnacentral:lncRNA from 1 species
AUGAAGGAGAGGAGAGGAGAGGAGAGGAGGGGAGGGGGAGAGGAGAGGAGAGGAGGGGGAGAGGAGAGGAGAGAAGAGGAGAGGAGAGGAGAGGAGAGGAGAGGAGAGGAGAGGAGAGGAGAGGAGAGGAGAGGAGAGGAGAGGAGAGGAGAGGAGAGGAGAGGAGGGCAAAUGUUUAAUUCAGAUGAAGGAAAUGAAAAUGUCUGUGGUGGUUCUUGUGAAAAGGCCCCGAGGUCUGAUCACCAUACAGUCCCAUGGAAUAGACCUACAGGAGGUGAGUCAUGGAAUAAACCUACAGGAGGUGAGUCAUGGAAUAGACCUACAGGAGGUGAGUCAUGGAAUAGACCUACAGGAGGUGAGUCAUGGAAUAGACCUACAGGAGGUGAGUCAUGGAAUAGACCUACAGGAGGUGAGUCAUGGAAUAGACCUACAGGAGGUGAGUCAUGGAAUAGACCUACAGGAGGUGAGUCAUGGAAUAGACCUACAGGAGGUGAGUCAUGGAAUAGACCUACAGGAGGUGAGUCAUGGAAUAGACCUACAGGAGGUGAGUUAUGGAAUAGACCUACAGGAGGUGAGUCAUGGAAUAGACCUACAGGAGGUGAGUCAUGGAAUAGACCCACAGGAGGUGAGUCAUGGAAUAGACCUACAGGAGGUGAGUCAUGGAAUAGACCUACAGGAGGUGAGUCAUGGAAUAGACCUACAGGAGGUGAGUCAUGGAAUAGACCUACAGGAGUUGAGUCAUGGAAUAGACCUACAGGAGUUGAGUCAUGGAAUAGACCUACAGGAGGUGAGUCAUGGAAUAGGCCUAUAGGUGAGUCAGUCCCAUGGAAUAGACCUAUAGGUGAGUCAGUCCCAUGGAAUAGACCUAUAGGAGGUGAGUCAUGGAAUAGACCUAUAGGUGAGUCAGUCCCAUGGAAUAGACCUAUAGGUGAGUCAUGGAAUAGACCUAUAGGUGAGUCAGUCCCAUGGAAUAGACCUAUAGGUGAGUCAGUCAAAUGGAAUAGACCUAUAGGUGAGUCAGUCCCAUGGAAUAGACCUAUAGGUGAGUCAUUCCCAUGGAAUAGGCCUAUAGGUGAGUCAGUCCCAUGGAAUAGGCCUAUAGGAGGUGAGUGA